CGAGCCUGGCGGGGCGGGGAGCCGGGAGCGUGAGCUUGGAACGUGGGAGCGGCGAGCCCAGCCCGCACCGCAGGGGGCGUGUGAGCCAGAAAAGGGGCCCUGUCAUUGGGAAACGGGCGCCUGCGCCCCGGGGCCCUGUGAGCCGGGAGGGCAGGCGGUCGUCCUCGCCUGAGGGGCGGGCAGCUAGCCGUGGAACCCCGGACCCUUCCGCGAGGGCCCGGCGGGAGCCGGGAGUAAGGUGCGAGGCGCCAGCGGUGGGCUUGGCCAGUGCCUGGGCCCUGCUGCUGCCGGGCUCCUAAUUGUUUUUAAUUUGAGGAUAUUGACAAUAUCCUGAUUUUUCUACCCUACACUUUGGCUUCUGAAGUGACAUUUAUCUAAGAACUGUAGCAUUCUUCCAGGUCAGUCUGUAGCCAAAUGUUUUGUUUCUUCCCUCUGUUCUCCCCUUGGUGUUUAUUGGAGUAGAGCUGAUUUACAGUAUUGUCUCAGUGUUGGCUGUGCAGCGAAGUGAAUCAGUUAUGUGUCUAUAUGUGUAUCUUCUCUCUUUAGAAACGCUUUUUCCAUACGGGCUGUCACAGAAUGUGGCGUCCCCUGUGCUGUACAGUUGGCCCUCGUUAGUUAUGUUUCAUUCACAAUAGUGUGUAGUGUGUGUGUCAGUCCCAGCCUGCCAGCCACAUGUGUGUUUCUUUGGUGCGUGUGUGUGUGUGUGUGUGUGUGUGUGUGUGUGUGUGUGUGUGUGUGUGUGUGUGUGUAUAAAACUGCUAGAGAAGGUCAGAAACAGGCUGAAUUGUGUUUCUGUUUUUUUUUUUACCUCUUUGUCCUUGAAAAGAUAGUUCUUGAGACGAAAGUAUUACUGAGUUUGGAUUGUAUACUUGAUCUGCAAGGAACAUUUGAAGAGACACAAAAGCAUGGGGGUAGUGAUAAAUAUGUGGGCUUAUGACAACAGCAGUUUGCUUUAGUGAUGUUUUAACAAGGGCUUCCGUGGUGGCUCAGUUGGUAAAGAAUCCGCCUGCAAUGCACGAGACCCCGGUUUGAUUCCUGGGUUGGAAAGAUCCCCUGGAGAAGGGAAAGAAAGGCUACCCACUCCAGUAUUCUGGCCUGGAGAGUUCCAUGGACUAUAUAGUGCAUGGGGCCGCAAAGACUCGGACUCAACUGAGCGACUUUCACUUCUAUGCUAAUAAUACAAAGCAUUUUGGAUGUGCAGAGUACCUUUAUGGCAGUCGUACUUGAAGAAACAGAAAGUAAGGCUGCCCUGUUUGAAGGUGGCACCAAUGGAAGGAGAUAGGAAGGGCCUGCUCUCUUCGUUGCAGGCGGCUGCUGCCUGAUGUUCCAGGACCGUGCCUGAAGUCAGCAUCCUGGUUCUGACACUUACCAGCUGUGGGAUCUUGGCAAAACCUGUCUUACCGGGUUAAAUGUGGGCAGUUUUUAAAAGUACGGUAUUUUAAGGGUUUAGGAAAUCUUCAAGCACCUGAAUAUUAAUUUUAACAGAGUAUCUCUGGGAGCCUUCAACAGAAGUAUGUGGAUCCUUUAUCUGGAGCGGCUGGGCAAAGAGGAAAAAAGACAAUAAAUGGACAAGUAGAAGGUAAUUUUAACAAAACGUACAGAUUUGUCAGCAGAACUAGACUUAGAAAUGACAUGAGAGGAAGAACAAGAAAAAUCUGAUGGAGAUGAAAAUAACCAUUCACAGAUUGACCUUAAAGCAAGAAGAAGAGAAUAGAAGAAAUGCUGGCAUGUUAUAUGAAAAAAUUAGGGAGCAGUUAAGAAGAAAGGAAGACCAAUAUAGUAAAGAAGCUGAAAUGAAACAGCAACUUGAACUCACUCUCAGAGCACUAGAUGGAACUGAAGACUGAGAAAGGAUCUGAAUCAGUGUCUCUCCAGGUUAUGGAAGAGUGACAUGACUCAGAAGCAGCUUUCUGGAGAACGGAAUGCCAGAAGCUUACAGGAGGGAAUCCUGGCCAAUCACCUUGCCAAAGAAAAGCAGAAAGAAAUGGCUGAUAAGGAAAUGAACUCUUAGCAUCGAAAGGAACGAAGGGGAAGAAGCAGGAGCAGCAAGAGAAAUGGCGCUUUGAAAGCUUGCAGAGAUUGCCUGGAAGAACUGGAAGAGGUCUGGGACCUGACUUCACUUCUGCAAAGACACCUGGGGAGGUUCCCUGACAAGGACAGCUUUCAUCAGAUCUCAUGGCAAGAUUCACCUGGUGAGGUUUGCAAAGCAGUGCCUGCUGGAGCCCACCCACCAUGCAGGGAAGAGGCGGCUCCCACCAUUUCCCCAGCUCCUCUGACCAAGCAGCCUCUACCCUGCACUUCUGCCAUUUCUCCAGGGCCAUCGAGUGACCUCGAGAGUUCAGGAGAGGGGAGCACAGAGCUUGGAUCCUGAGCCUGGCUGCUGCCAGGGCCUCUCAGAGGCACCAAGAGGGUCCCAAGCUGCCAGGUAAGAAGCCCAACCAGCUCACUGGAGACAACCUCGCAAGAGGCCCACAUGGAGAACAGAGGCCAAGCCAUCCCCGUCAGGCCACCAGAGGAAUGCACCUGCAACAGGGACCCUAAGCAAGAGCUGCAGAACCUCCCAGUAGAGCCCAGUCAACCUGCAGAGCUGGGAAAGUCAAUCAAAUGGUGUGGUUUAAAGCCAUUGUGUUCGGACGGCUGUUUCAUAGGAACAGAUGACUGAAAACACUGACAAAGCAGAGACACAUAUGCGAAUACAUACACACCCAUCCCUUCUUGCUAAGCACUAUAAAACAGCAUCACUCAACGUUGCAAAAUUCCACAAGAAAAUAACAGCAAAUCAAAUCUUGCAGUUCAAUGACUGCUUAACACACCAUGGCCAAAAGAAUGCUACAAAUGGACUGUAAGAUAGUACAACAGUUAUAUAUAUAUGUAAUCCAUAACUUUAGGGAGUUAAG